rnacentral:rRNA from 1 species
AGAGCGAACGCUGGCGGCAGGCCUAAUACAUGCAAGUCGAACGAGCCCUUCGGGGUUAGUGGCGGACGGGUGAGUAACACGUGGGAACGUGCCUUUUGGUUCGGAACAACUCAGGGAAACUUGAGCUAAUACCGAAUGUGCCCUUCGGGGGAAAGAUUUAUCGCCAUUAGAGCGGCCCGCGUCUGAUUAGCUAGUUGGUGAGGUAAAGGCCCACCAAGGCUACGAUCAGUAGCUGGUCUGAGAGGAUGAUCAGCCACACUGGGACUGAGACACGGCCCAGACUCCUACGGGAGGCAGCAGUAGGGAAUCUUGCGCAAUGGGCGAAAGCCUGACGCAGCCAUGCCGCGUGAAUGAUGAAGGUCUUAGGAUUGUAAAAUUCUUUCAGCGGGACGAUAAUGACGGUACCGCAGAAGAAGCCCCGGCUAACUUCGUGCCAGCAGCCGC